CCCGGCCGGGAGCAGCCGCUCUGGGAUGGCCGCUGGGGCCACGGCGUUGCUGCUCCCGCUCCCGUUGUGCCUGGAGUGGGACUGGAGCCCAGGGAAACACGAGGGAAAACUCAGUGAAAACUCUUUGCUCUUUUAUUUCCAGAGCUGUGAGGAUCAUCGAGUCAAAUGCUGAGGAGUGACCGGCCCAGCUGCGCAUUGAUCACAGAAUUCUGGCCUUGUCAGCACCCUGCUCCAAACACCUGGGCCAAUCCCAGGGUUGUUCCAAAGUCCUGCAUGGGAUGGGAAUGACUGCUGCCAGAAGAAGUGAACCAGACAGCUCCUGAGGGUUCCUCUGGAGAGUGGCAGGGGGCGUUUCCUGCAGAUACUGAAUCCCAGGCAGGAGCCCUCAGAGAUACCUGGAAAUCAGUGGGGAUGGAGUUUGGAGUUUUUCAGGAUCCAGCUGCAAGUGCACAAGUGGUGGAAAGCUUUCACAGG